rnacentral:misc_RNA from 1 species
AAAACAAAUUUCGCAAUAUUCCUAAAAUUCAAUGAAAAUUUUAAAAAAACAAGACGUUAAAAUCAUAUGCUAUCAACCAAAACACAAAAACAAGUCAUCGCCACAAAAAGAACGCAGAUUUAUGAGAAAUUAAGAAAUAUAAAUUAAAAAUCAGUUGAAAUUCCCCACAAAAUGACAAAGAAAUUGCAAUAUUUUAUUCUUGUCUCGACAUGCAAUUUUUCCAUUACCAAAUAUAAUUAACCUUAGUCCUGACCUAUACGAAACUGUUGUUUCAAGCUAGAACUGCAAACAAACGAGCCACACGACAUAAAUCGAAACGUCAAUGCAACCUCAUUCUCGAUGAAUCAUCAAUUUUACGACGGAGAGUCGGGGAAAUCAAGUACCCAAAUAACAAAAUACAAACCAGAAGCCCAGUUUGCAACUUAGGAUUGCUAUUUGACUAAGAAGCAUUUGCUAACUCGAAAAGGAGACAUCUUUCUUCUCUAUUUUGUUGAGGGGAUGAAGGGGUGAACAAAUCAGCUAAACCUUAGUAAUCAAAACACUAAGUGCACAAUUCCGUUUCAUUUCUGCAUUUUCUCAGCAAGCAAACAGGGAGGACAUGCAUAGAGCCAGUGAUUAUUGAGAAACACAUACCUUGAGGAAUAGAGAUUAAUAUGCAAGCAUAAUAAAGGGAAAAGCAGAUCAAGAACUUACCAUGUAAGAGACAAAAUCCAAUCUAGAAAUUUGAGAGAGAGAGAGAGAGAUGAAUAAUUUUAGAGGAAGCCUCAAAGUACAAGAGUUGAUGAAGAAGGGAACGAGAAACUUUGGGAAGGAGGAGUUGUUGUCACUUAGCAGAGCUGGGUUUUCACUGCUUUAUACUCUCUAUGUGUUGUUUGGCUGC